CCUUCACAUUAGCAAUCAAGAAGGGAUAACUCGCAUUUGAUUAGCUAAUAUUCUUUGAAGGAAGGAUAAAUAAUAAGCUGACAAUGAAAUGAAUGGUUAGUGAAGUGGAAAAAGUGAGUGAACAAAAUACUGAAGCUUCAACUUCAAAAUCAUCCUAACCACCGCCGAAGAAGAGACGGGGCCCGACACGAUGCAAGAAUGUCAUAAACGCGACAAACUUAUUACCAUUAAGGGUUAAUAAGUUUGGACAGCCGAUCGGCCCUGGAAGUGGUACAUAUAGUAAUUAUUUGGGAACACUUGCCCGGAAUGCUAAAUUGGCUCAUUUGUGCUAUAAAACUUGGUGGGAGAUGCCUAAACGGCUGAAGGAGGAUAUGUGGAACGUUGUAAAGGGAAAGUAUGAUGUGGGAAUCUUGUCAAAACAUUGGACAAUAUCCUCCAUCAGAAAAAAAUGGAGGGGCUAGAAGUGUGAAUUAAAAAGUGAAUAUUACUCGGUUAGGGAUACAGAUGCAGAAAGAUUAGCAAACCCACCACUUGAUGUUGAAAAGGAGCAUUGGGAAUUUUUGGUUAGGCAUUGGGGUACACCUAUUGCGAAGGAGGUCAGUAAAAAAAACAAAGAACGUCGUGGGAAUCAGACAAUGAUGCAUACUACAGGGACAAAAAGCUUUGCACGUGUUUCUGCCGAGAUUGAGGAAGACGAAGGUAUUCAGCUUUCUCGUGUAGAUUUAUUCAUUUGCACACAUGUAAAUAAGGAUGACAAAGCUACUGAUGCUGCUGCUUCGGAGAUGAUUGUAAGUUUUCAUACUUUCAUUUUGCAAAAAGGGGGUCACGUGCCUUGAAGUGAC